UCCUCUCUCUCUCUCUCUCUCUCUCUCUCUCUCUCUCUCUCUCUCUCUCUCUCUCUCUCUCUCUCUCACAGCUUUCAUCUUCUUCUUUGAUCUCUGUUUGUAUUUUCUUCUCCUCUUAAUAUUUUACACUUCCGUCCGCAUUUCUUUUACAGCUUUCAUCUUCUUAUUUGAUCUUUGUUUGUUUUUUCUUCUCCUUUUAAUCUUUUGCACUUUCGUCCGCAUUACUCUUAUAUUACAUUUAUUUGAUUUAUUUUUUGUUCAUUUUUUGUUUGUUUAGAUUUAGAUUGUUCUUUACGGUAUAAUAUACAUAUAUAUAUAUAUAUAUUUUUAAGCUUUCAGAUGUGAAUCGUUUAUUUCGUAUAUUUUUUGUUGCUUUUUUAUAUAUCUAGAUCAAGAUUGUUCUUUACCAUUUUAAAUUUUUUUUUGUUUUUACUUUCAGAACUCCAAGCGAAAAUUUCCUAUGCUAAUUUUCAUCUUCUUGUUUGAUCUUUGUUUCUAUUUUCUUUUCCUUUUAAUCUCUUGCAGUUUCGUCCGCACUACUCAUCUCUUGCGUUUAUUUGGUUUUUUUUUGUUCAUCUUUUGUACAUUUAGAUCUAGAAUGUUCUUUACGAGAAUUUUUUUCUCUCAGUUUUCAUCUUCUUGUGUUGAUCUUUGUUUCUAUUUUCUUUUUCUUUUAAUCUCUUGCAGUUUCGUCCACACUACUCAUCUCAUGCGUUUAUUUUGUUUUUUUUUGUUCAUCUUUUGUGCAUUUAGAUCUAGAAUGUUUUUUACGGGAAUUUUUUUUAAACUUUCAGAUCUGAACCGUUUAUUUCAUUUAUUUGUUGUUGAUUUUUUAUACGUUUCGAUGAAGAAUGUUUUUGACGGUUUUUCAAAAUUUUUUUUGUUUUUACUUUAAGAUCUGAACAAAUUUUUUUUUGUUUGAGUUUCCUUCUCAUUUUUUUGUUCUUGUUUUUGUCUGUUGCCUUAUUUUGUUCUUCCGUUCUCUUAUUUUGUUGUUUGAUGUUUGGAAUUUUCAGAUCUGUACAACAACUUAUUUUUUUGCAAAUGAUGUAUGUAACGUGCGGAUCCUCCGUGUACAGGCACGACAUCUACGGCCGUGAAGCACCAUCCUCGCAUUCGUCAUCCUUAGCCGGUGACAACCACCCAUCCCUCACGGCUUCUCUGUGUAUAUUUCAACAUCUCUUGUGUAUUAAGGCACUCUGUUUGAGUCUCCUUUUUUUAUGCAUAUUUUUGGAUAUUUUGGUUGGAUUUGUUCUUUGUUGGUUCUUCCUCGCGUGGUGGCUCAGAUCCAUUGCCUAUGGCCGCGUGUAACAGCCGACAACCACAGCGGAAGUUUGUUGGUUGGAUCUGUUGUUUUUGGUUGAAGGAAGUUUUUGUUUUUCCUGAUGGAUAUUUCUGGAUUUUUCCGUUGAAUCUGUUGUUUGUUGGGUCUUCCUAACAUUGCAGUUCACAUCGGCUGAUAAUGGCCAGUCGGCAGCCCACGACCACGCCGGAAGGACGUACGAACAAAUCUGAAGAUUAAAUUUUAGAAGAUCCAAUUUGUAUGAUGGGUUUAAUAUUUUUGUUGGGUUUACUCUGUAAAUAAAGAUGUAAAUAUGCAAAUAUAGUUUUAUCUUUCCAUUUUUUUUUGCUGUAAUACACAUGCAUAUCAUGUAAUUACAUAAUGUAAGAAAUAUAUUCAUAUAAUACAGUUAAUUUUUACAA